rnacentral:rRNA from 1 species
CCUACGGGUUGCAGCAGUGGGGAAUAUUGCACAAUGGGGGAAACCCUGAUGCAGCGACGCCGCGUGAAGGAAGAAGUAUUUCGGUAUGUAAACUUCUAUCAGCAGGGAAGAAAAUGACGGUACCUGAUUAAGAAGCCCCGGCGAACUACGUGCCAGCAGCCGCGGUAAUACGUAGGGGGCAAGCGUUAACCGGAUUUACUGGGGGUAAAGGGAGCGUAGGCGGCGAUGCAAGUCAGAAGGGAAAGCCCGGGGCUCAACUCCGGGACUGCUUUUGAAACUGUAUGGCUAGAUUGCAGGAGAGGCGAGUGGAAGUCCUGGUGUAGGGGUGAAAUGCGUAGAUAUUAGGAGGAACACCAGUGGCGAAGGCGGCUUGCUGGACUGUAAAUGACGCUGAGGCUCGAAAGCGUGGGGAGCAAACAGGAUUAGAUACCCCAGUAGUC